rfam:Plasmodium ovale wallikeri genome assembly, contig: contig38
CACCUGGUUGAUCUUGCCAGUAGUCAUAUGCUUGUCUAAAAGAUUAAGCCAUGCAAGUCCAAGUACAUGUAUAUUUAAUAUGCAGAAACUGCGAACGGCUCAUUAAAACAGUUAUAAUCUACUUGACAUUCUACGCCCACAAAGAUCGCGCGUAACAAGGAUAACUACGGAAAAUCUGUAGAUAAUCGAAUGAAGAAAGCGCUCGGAGUCAUAUAUACGCCAGUUGCAAGUAAAUGUUACCCCCGAUAAGAGAGAUUUGCCCGAACCAAGGAAUUAUUACAAAGAAGGAACACAUCAUAGAUUAUAGGUUUAUGUAGUGUGUAUCAAUCGAGUAACUGACCUAUCAGCUGUCGAUGUUAGGAUAUUGGCUUAACAUGGCUAUGACGGGUAACGGGGAAUUAGAGUUCGAUUCCGGAGAGGGAGCCUGAGAAAUAGCUACCACAUCUAAGGAAGGCAGCAGGCGCGUAAAUUACCCAAUUCUAACGAAGAGAGGUAGUGACAAGAUAUUACAAUACAAGGCCAUUUCAUGGUUUUGUAAUUGGAUUGAGGGGAAUAUAAAAACUUCCCAAGAUACCCAUUGGAGGGCAAGUCUGGUGCCAGCAGCCGCGGUAAUUCCAGCUCCAAUAGCGUAUAUUAAAAUUGUUGCAGUUAAAACGCUCGUAGUUGAAUUUCAAAGAGUCAUGGCGUUUCUGAGGUGCUACGCUUGGUUGAUCGCCCAGCACUGACCAUCUAUGAUUUUAUUGUAGAACAGUGAGCCUGGGUGUUUAGCUCCAAGAAAGUUGUCUCCUUUACAAAGUGAUUUUUCUAAGGGUCUCUUGAGUACCAGUCCUUGGGAGGUUCUUUUUACCUUGAGUAAAUUAGAGUGUUUAAAGCAAACAGAUACAACAGUUUACUGUGUUUAAAUACUACAGCAUGGAAUAAUAAUAUCGAAUGAGCCGACGUACUUUUCGUUUCUUUGUUAUUUUGGCUUAGUUACGAUUAACAGGAAUAGUUGGGGGCAUUUGUAUUCAGAUGUUAGAGGUGAAAUUCUAAGAUUAUCUGGAGACGAACAAUUGCGAACGCAUCUGUCUAACAUAUUUUCAUUAAUCAAGAACGAAAGUUAAGGGAGUGAAGACGAUCAGAUACCGUCGUAAUCUUAACCAUAAACUAUGCCAACUAUGUUUUGGAUGUAUGAGAAAAAGGUGGAAUACUUUGUUUUACGACAUUGUCAUUCCAUUUAUGCUUCAUUCAGUACCUUAGAGAAAUCAAAGUCUUUGGGUUCUGGGGCGAGUAUUCGCGCAAGCGAGAAAGUUAAAAGAAUUGACGGAAGGGCACCACCAGGCGUGGAGCUUGCGGCUUAAUUUGACUCAACACGGGAAAACUUACUAGUAUAAGACAAGAGUAGGAUUGACAGAUUAAUAGCUCUUUCUUGAUUUCUUGGAUGGUGAUGCAUGGCCGUUUUUAGUUCGUGAAUAUGAUUUGUCUGGUUAAUUCCGAUAACGAACGAGACCUUAACCUGCUAGUUAGCGGCCGGUAUGUCGCGAAUUUAUCAAAAUCUUAUCUCGUAGGCUGGAUUAUUUUUAGAAGAUAUGACGGAUAACCGAGUCGAGUGUCGUCCCCAUCACUGUUCUAUUAAUUCGCAGUCUGUCCUGGUUUUUUUUUGGUAAGUAUGUAUCCGCUUGAAUGUAAGCUUCUUAGAGGUACGAUGUGUGCUUAACACAAGGAAGUUUAAGGCAACAACAGGUCUGUAAUGUCCCUAGAUAUACUAGGCUGCACGCGUGCUACAAUGAUAUGUAUAACGAGUUAUUAAAAAUAUAUGGCUCUGUAAAUUUUUAAUUAAAAUAUUGCUAAGGAUAUGUGUGUUGGUGUAUAUCAAUCAACGAGUUACUAAAAGUAUGUGCGGGGGUAUAUAUAAAUUCACGAGUUACUGAUAGUGUUUGCUUGUGCAUGUAAGAAUGACAAGCCACUUUAGGUAUGUGAUAGUAAAUAUAAAUUGUAAAUUUACUAAUAAUAUGUUCUUGUACAUGUAAAAAUGACAAGUUACAGAGUAAGUAGGUUUUUAAUUGUUAAUGUAAGUUUUAAAGUUACUAAGUCUAUGUGCUUGUGCAUGUAAAAAUGGCAAGUUACAGAGUAAGUAGUUGUUUGAUUGUUAAGCUAAAUUUUAGAGUUGCUAAUACUAAGUGUCUGUGUUUAUCUAUUAACGAGUCAUGGAUGGUAAGUGCUUGUGUAUAUAUAAAUAUGUAUAUUAAUUAAUUUUUUACAGAGUUCAUAAUUUUUCCUCCACUGAAAAGUGUAGGUAAUCUAGUCAGAACAUAUCGUAAUUGGGAUAAAUUUCUGUAAUUAUGAAUUUUGAACGAGGAAUGCCUAGUAAGCAUGAUUCAUCAGAUUGUGCUGACUACGUCCCUGCCCUUUGUACACACCGCCCGUCGCUCCUACCGAUUGAAAGAUAUGACAAAUUGUUUAGACAUGAAAAUGGGAAAUUAUAUUUCUCAUUUGGUGAAAAAAUCGUAAAUCCUAUUUUUUAAAGGAAGGAGAAGUCGUAACAAGGUUUCCGUAGGUGAACCUGCGGAAGGAUCAUUA